UUGCAGGAAAAACUCUUUCUGCCUCCCUAGGGAUGGGCUCCCAGAAAAGCCAGCCUGAAAGGAAACUGAGGCAUGGACAGAUGAUGAAGAUUUAAGAAGCAGUAGCGUCAGAGAACCAGUGUUUUGAAGAAUCGAGGGAAGGGCUGGCUGCAAGAUUUCAUAAGUAGGUCUAUGCAAACACACAGAAUCCUUUCUUCCAUGUCUAAAAUUCUUUCAACAAACUCAUUUGGGUGAAGAUACUCACCUGUCUCUGUGUCACACAUUUGAAGGAACAGAUCACUUGUGAUGCACCAUUCUUCCUGCUGUCCAUUAAAGGAGCUGGCAGCUGAACACCUGGGCCUACGUCAACCCUGGGAUACCACUGAAGAGUGGAAACCAUGAUUUACCUGCCUGGUUUUAAAAGUUUGGAAAUAGAUACAAAUGCAAAUUAUCUAUAACCCCACUGUCCAUAGAUAACUGCU